rnacentral:lncRNA from 1 species
UAUCGAUCAAUAAAAAAAGGGCUUCAAAAAUCGUAUAAAAGCAACACAUAUAGUCAGAGCUGACAGAUCCAUAGCUGACAGCAUUCCUGCUCGUAUAAGCCAACUGGACAAGAAAUCAAACAUGUCUGGAGUCAAAGGUGGAGGUGGAGGUGGUGGAUGUGGUGGUGGUGGUAGUGGUGGUGGAGGAGGACAGCAAACAGGUCAAUACAAAGAUAUUGAUGGUAAGUUGUAGCUAAUGUCUUAAUUGAAUUAUUUCAAAGUAAAGUUUGUUGUAUUUGAUUUUAAACACUAUCGUGUUCAUUAUGCAAUGUUCAAGGUGCAAUGUUUCAUUGAAUUAAGAGAAAUACUGAAUGUAACCCCGUAAUUUUUCAUGGUUUGUAUCAAGGCUUGCAAUGCUCCACAAAUCUGAAUACGAGCAUCUCAGGAGUACAUGUGUGCAAAUUUGCUGUCUUAUGUCUGGAAAAUAAUGCUAAAAAGACUAGUGGUCCUUCUUUGGUGUAUAUAGCAUGCUAACUAUGUAAAGUAACUGCAUUGGUUGGGGUCAAAUAAUGUAACACUUGAAAAAAUCUAAUAAGUUGGUAUUUUGCUUUCCAGUUUAAAAGGUAUUACAUUUUACAAUUUAAUUUUGAAGAAUUAUGAUUAAAAUAUUAAUAAACUAAAAUAUGCAUUUUAUUAAAUUGCUUGAUUGCAAAUAUAUAUUCUUCAGUGAAAACGUUUUGUACAGACAACAUUGAAAAUGUGACUGUUUAUUAUUUGUUUAAAAAAAUAAAAUGUAUAUGCAAAGUAGGUGAAAACACAAGAUUUUAUAAGAUUUUAUAAAAAAAUAAUAUAUGUUGGUCUGUUGCAAUAAUCAUACACAAUCAAAUGAAAACAAAAAAUACAUUUACGUCUAUAAAAACAAUAUAACGUGUAGAAUUUGCAGAGUUCUGUGCUGCAUUCAGUCAUUGUUUUUCUUUUUUUUUGUGUGACAGUUAAUCAAUGCUCCCAGCCGUGCAUAGACCCGAUACCUGGCAACAAAGGCAACGGUAUGCAAAAACAUUAAUGUUUUAUUAUGAUGUAACAGCUGUACUGUAAUUGAAAAAAAAUGAAUAUAAAGGUAAAAUUCGAGCUGGUUUAGCUAUCAUCGUUUAUAAUAUGUCAAUGGUGUAAACUGUGACAACUAUCUCUGCAAACUUUACAACAAUAGGAUGCAACAGGAGAAUCUAGCUAACACUUUAGCUGCACAGAAAGUCCUGUUAUAAUAAGGUUGUUCUCAAUAAAAAAAAUGUCAUCAAUGGUUAAUAUCUCAUUUUCAACAUGCACAGUAGCAUACACAGCUCAAUCUGUACAGAGCUGUUGAUGAGCAACCAGUGGUAACAGAUUUACCGAGGGCUAUGCACACUUAUCAAGACAUAUUUGUACUGUAUCCAGUAAUAUUCCUUGAAAAAAACUGACGUAAGAUUUGCCAGGCAACUGUACUUACUGUAUGUGGACAUUCAUAAACUAUCAGCAAUUAAUAACUGUGCCAUCCUGACUGUGAUUUAAUUAGUCAUUACUGAUGAGGACUGAACAGACAUAACAAAACAGUAUUGGUUAAAUAUCGAUGUGUUUGCUUAAUCCUGAUAUAUCAAGCCAGAGGCUUUAAACAUUGAAGGCAUUAUUUAUUGUAGCUGUUGAUUGUUACUGUAUACUUUGUCAGUAUAGUUAUAAUAUGAUAUAUUCCUUGCAUUCAUUGACUUUAUCUACUAGAUUUAAAAAAAAAAUUAAGGACAGCUUGCUAUAUAUUUUCAGGUAAAACUAUCUGUUGCACGAAACUUUGAGAAAGUAUUUUUUCAAGUGAAUGCAACUUCUAAUAGAUCAAUCUGUACAACCUUUACCAAACAGAAGUAAGAAAUCAAAUAAUCAAAUAAGUAAGAAACCAAAAUGUACUUUUUUUGUUUUAGAUGGGUCUGGUCAUUGUGCACAAACUCAGGGCAGCGGAAGUUAUGGAGUCAGUGGAGGUUACUGCGGUCAAGGUGGUCAGAUUCAAGGUGGAGGAGGCACGAAGAAGUGAAGAUCCAAAAUGAAAAUAAAUAAACCAAGCAAGCAUUUGGACAUACACUACAUUGCUAAUUAUUUUCUGUAACGCUGUUCUAAUUGUAUUCUGAUUGCUACUUACUGCAAAAUACAAGUAACUGAUCAGAUUUAAAAUAAAUUAAUUAAUUUAAGCAUAAACGUUCAGUCUCGG